rnacentral:rRNA from 1 species
GACGAACGCUGGCGGCGUGCUUAACACAUGCAAGUCGAACGGAAAGGCCCUGCUUGCAGGGUGCUCGAGUGGCGAACGGGUGAGUAACACGUGGGUGAUCUGCCCCUUACUUUGGGAUAAGCCUGGGAAACUGGGUCUAAUACUGGAUAGGACCAUGCUGUAGGUGGUGUGGUGGAAAGAUUAGUUUCGGUAAGGGAUGAGCUCGCGGCCUAUCAGCUUGUUGGUGGGGUAAUGGCCGACCAAGGCGUCGACGGGUAGCCGGCCUGAGAGGGUGGACGGCCACAUUGGGACUGAGAUACGGCCCAGACUCCUACGGGAGGCAGCAGUGGGGAAUAUUGCACAAUGGGCGCAAGCCUGAUGCAGCGACGCCGCGUGGGGGAUGACGGCCUUCGGGUUGUAAACUCCUUUCAGCCAUGACGAAGCCCUUGUGGUGACGGUAGUGGUAGAAGAAGCACCGGCUAACUACGUG